UUCUUUAUUACAGGCUUACAACCAUCAAACAUUGAAUCUUGAAAUUAGAAAAGCAAGAGUAACUGGAGUAUAUAUCAAAUGGUACCUAGGAUUCUUCAUCCUUUGUCUCUAUCUUCAUGCGAUCAAUGAACGAUUUUCCAUCAAGUUUUCGUGCAAAAAAAUCCUCCAAAUAUUUUCCUACACGAAUUCUUCCGAAAAUUGGAGGAUUAUUUGGUCCAAUGAGACUGUGUGCAGGUCCCAAUUCAGAGUCGAGGUUGAAGAGAUAGAAUGUUGCAAGAGAUAGCCG
rnacentral:misc_RNA from 1 species